UGAAUCUGUCCAAGAAUAAACUAGGAGACUCUGGAGUGAAGUUGCUCUGUGAUCUGAGUGAUGAUCCACUUUAUAAACUGGAGACUUUAGACUAUUGACUCAAUUAAGUUUCCUCAGGAUCAGCUGAUGGUGAAUAAGAGCCGCUACAGAGACAUCACAGUCACACAAU